CUUAAUAUAAAAUGCCUAAAGCAGUGAAAACGAAGGUCACAUAAUGACCAAAAUUUCCACCGCCGGUAGUGGUCGAGAUCUGGUGAGAACACCUCGUCGGAUCUCGCCCCUCAAAAGCUUAAAAAUCUCUUCUUAAAUCAAAUCCCGUAAAUUAAUAGAAAACCCCAUAAAGAAAACAUGAAGGGCUCGCGCGCUCUCGUUGCCUCUGUUCUUACUGCCUCCACUGUAGCUUUAUCAUCAGCCUCAUCUUCUUCCCCUAUGGUUUCUGAGGGUUCAUCAAGAUCGUUAUCAAUGGAGAAAAAUGGCGGGUUUAAGAAGGAGGAAUUUGAGUCAAGAUUUGAUGGGUUAAGGUUUAUUGAGACCCUUGUCACGACUCACAGAUGAUUAUGGAGUUAAUCAUUGAUUAUCGUGGUUAAUUUUGUUACUUGAGGGAUUAAGACGGGAUUAGAGAGAGAGGAGAAGCUUUAAAAAAAAAAAAUGGUAAAAUUGAGUUAUUUAUCAUUUGAUGAUUGGUUGUAAGUUGUAGCCAAAACUUCAAGGUCACCUGUUUUCUUUUUUAAUGUUUGUGUUGGAUUUUCUUUCUUAAUUUGGUUUCUUUCUUAAAUUGUAUUUUUGUUAAUAUGGUAUUAUAAAGAAUUAUUGAUUGCUGUGGA